rnacentral:rRNA from 1 species
AUACGGAGGGUGCGAGCGUUAAUCGGAAUUACUGGGCGUAAAGCGUACGUAGGCGGUUGGUUAAGUUAGAUGUGAAAGCCCCAGGCUUAACCUGGGAACUGCAUUUAAAACUGGCGAACUAGAGUUGAGUAGAGGGGAGUGGAAUUUCAGGUGUAGCGGUGAAAUGCGUAGAGAUCUGAAGGAACACCAGUGACGAAGGCGACUCCCUGGACUCGAACUGACGCUGAGGUACGAAAGCGUGGGUAGCAAACGGGAUUAGAAACCCCGGUAGUCC